rnacentral:rRNA from 1 species
AGUGAACGCUGGCGGCGUGCUUAACACAUGCAAGUCGAACGAGAACGGGUUGUAGCUUGCUAUAAUUGUCAGCUAAGUGGCGCACGGGUGAGUAAUGUAUAGGUAAUAUGCCUCUUACUAAGGGACAACAAAUGGAAACGUUUGCUAAUACCUUAUACUCCUUAUUAACAUAAGUUAAUAAGGGAAAGAUUUAUUGGUAAGAGAUUAGCCUGUAUUGUAUCAGUUAGUUGGUGGGGUAAUGGCUUACCAAGACUAUGACACAUAACUGGUUUGAGAGGAUGAUCAGUCACACUGGAACUGAGACACGGUCCAGACUCCUACGGGAGGCAGCAGUGGGGAAUAUUGCACAAUGGACGAAAGUCUGAUGCAGCAACGCCGCGUGGAGGAUGACACAUUUCGGUGCGUAAACUCCUUUUAUAUGAGAAGAUAAUGACGGUAUUAUAUGAAUAAGCACCGGCUAACUCCGUGCCAGCCGCCGCAGUAA